GCAUUUGUGAUCAGCUUUACAGUAAAGAACAAAACUCUAUUAAGUUUAAAAUGUGUGCGAUCAUUCACACAGCUUAAAGAAGAGGCUGUAAACAAAGCAGGAGAGAUGGAGCAAAGGCUGAGCAGCUCCAUCCAAAAUCAAGCAGAGCUAGAAGAGCAGCUCAGUGAGUCUCGCAGCCGGCUGGGACAAAUGGAGCUGGUAUGAACACAAAACUCUCAAAGUUUUCAUUAUGACAUUCAACACCUCCAAAUCAACCAUUAUCUACCACAUCCUCAGGAAAAAGACCUGUUUUCUGCUAAGAUGCGGAGACUAGAAGACAAUCUGAAUGACGUGAAGGUCAAACUGUCUGGAGCUUUAAUGGACAAAGACCGUCUACUCCAGGAGAAAGCAGAGCUGUGUCAGAAGGUCCAGAGUUUGGGUCUGCAGUUGCAGAGAGAGCAGAGGAGCAAACAGGACUUCAGUGAACAGAUGUCGGAUCUUCAUUCUGAGCUUUCACAAGCUAAGAGCCAAAGCAGCAAACAGAAGAUGGACACAAUGCAGAUGAAAGAGGAGCUGCUUUCAGUUAAAGAGGUCAGAGGUCACCCUUUAUACCUAUUUAUACCCUUUACCAGAUAUACCAGAUAUAUACUACUAGCCAAACGUUUGGAAAGUCUCCAUUUAUUUGAUUAAAAACUGGAAACAAUGAAAACUGUUUUACUGUACUGUGACUUUUAUUUAGUUAAA
rnacentral:lncRNA from 1 species